rnacentral:rRNA from 1 species
UGGGGAAUAUUGGACAAUGGGCGCAAGCCUGAUCCAGCAAUGCCGCGUGAAUGAUGAAGGCCUUAGGGUUGUAAAGUUCUUUUAGUGGGAAAGAAAUUGACGGUACCCACAGAAAAAGCUCCGGCUAACUCUGUGCCAGCAGCCGCGGUAAUACAGAGGGAGCUAGCGUUUUUCGGAAUUAUUGGGCGUAAAGAGCGUGUAGGCGGCCAAUUAAGUUGACAGUGAAAUCCCGAAGCUCAACUUCGGAAUUGCUUUCAAAACUGAUUGGCUAGAGUUCGGUAGAGGAUGAUGGAAUUCUUGGUGUAGGGGUAAAAUUCUUAGAUAUCAGGAGGAACACCGGUGGCGAAAGCGAUCAUCUGGGCCGUAACUGACGCUGAGGCGCGAAAGCGUGGGGAGCAAACA